ensembl:lncRNA ZBTB7C-AS1 ZBTB7C antisense RNA 1
GACCCCGCAGGGGGCGAGGCGGGGCUGAGAGGGGCGAACGCAGAGCCAGACCCCCCGCCGCCGCAGGCCGCCCACCUCCAGGCAGGGCUUCGUGCCAGACCCGGCUGUAGUUAUCAGCUGGGUGGAGGGCAGUGCCAGCUGCAGGCGUCCCCGAGGCGCAAACACCACCCCUGGCCCCAGCCUCCUUCCCUGCAGCCUUCUACCUUCUACCGGAAACAGAGCCACGGGGAGCUAAAGGAGGAUCCAGCAACAGUGGAGGCAGGGACUCCACCUCAGAGGCAGGGCCGCACUGAAGCCCAGCUCACCUACCUGCUGGGUGACCUUGGGCAAGUGACUUCUCUAUGCCUCAGUUGUUGCAUCUGUAAAAUUGAGAUAGUAAUAGUAUUCACCUCACUGAGUGCUGCGGUUUGGUGCCUGGCACAUAAUAGGGACUUCAUAGACAGUUGUUACUAUUAUUACCUCUUCCCCCACAUUUGGGGUUUGGCAGAGGGAUGUAUUGGCUACAUGGUCAUUAAGGAUCUGUUAAGCACCUCCUAUGCACGAGGGAGAUCACAUGGUAUGGUCCAAGAGUCUUGGAGUUAGAUGUGGGGUUGAAUCCUGGCCCUGUCACUUCAUAGCUGUGUGUGACCUUGUAAAAUUCUGUCUCCUCUCUGAGCUGAAGUUCCCCCACAGGAAAAUAGGGACCGUAAUGCCCAUCUUCCGGGGCCAAUGCUGGAUUCAAUGAGAUAAUGUACAGGGAGUGCCCAGGGCAGUUCUCAGCACACAAUAGUGCCUCUCAGUAAAUAAGAGACGCAGGAUGGAGAGGACAGGCUCAGUUUCUGCUACAGAAGAGCUCUGGGCAGGCAUAAACAUGGCUUCUUAUGCCUAUCCCCCUUCUCAGAGCAGCUCAGAACACUUAUCACACCUUUCUCCUUGACCCUCACCUCUCUGGAAGAUUAGAAGCAGAAGAUUUAUUGGAUCAACUUCUCAGCUGUGGAAUCUGAGCAAACAGAAGGGAAGUGGCUGAGGGAGGCCUCAGACCAGCUGUAUCCCUGGACCAGAGGUCACAGCGCUGGCUAAGGAAACCUUCCAUGCAGGAGUGCUGUGAGCUGAGCAGUGCAUAAGAAAAGAGUGUUUGUGGGAAUCAGCAUUUUACCACCUGGCAGACCUGCCUGGGCUGUAGCAGAGCCUCCCCACUCAGUGGACAAGGGACAGGAGGGAUCAAAGGUUGAGGAAAGAUAUUAUUUCAAUCAAGAUAAUGAUUCUACUUCUUGAACGGAAAUGAGAUUUUUUUUCAUUGCCUCAUGGGGGUGCCACCAACAUCUGUCUCCGGGCUGGAACAGGUCAUGAACAAGUUAGAGGAUUUUCUUGUAACCUGAGAGAGAGUGUAAACAUGAAGGAGAACUGAAAGAAGGGAGCUUGCUUGCAAGAGAAAAACAUAUCUGCCAGGCCUCCACGAUUAUAAAAUAAGCUCAAUUUGGAAAAUGUACACUGGCAUUGAACAGAGCAUUCAAGACCGAACUUCAGAAGGAAGCCCAACCUAAGUCAGUCACCAGUGGCUCAAAAUGAAGCCCUCCAGCAUCUUUUCAGAGGGUUGUCCCAGGAGUUGGAAGCACACGUGAGCCUUCCUCCUUGAAGGCAGCACCAUAACCACCUUCCUGCCUUGCCGAAGACCACCAGUCUGACAUAAUACAGCCCACGAAAGCCAGCAACAGCAAAACAUGGACAUCCAGAACAGACAGAGUUCUGACAACUGGACCCCGUGGCGCAGCACAAUGAUGACUCUUCUUCCCCAGGAUGAAUAAGCAGGAGGCAAGGGCUGAGCCAAAAGGACCUGUUGCAUAAUCUGAGCAAUGUCCAGUUAUGUGCAGCGGAAAGUCAGUGUGGACGUCUUAGGCAGCUCUACCACUUACUAGCAGAGCAAACUAGAGCAAAUAUUGAAUGAUUCUGAGCCUCAGUUUCUUCAUCUGCAAAAUGGGAAUACUGGAUAGAGCCUUUGUAAAGCACCUAUGAGGCAGUACCUUCAAGAGUGCUGCAAAUUGCUCAUCCAAUGUGAAUACUGGCUGUUGUUAUGGAGAUUUAUAACUAGCUACCUUCUCCUGCUUGCUUGGGACAAAUAUUAAUUAAUCAUCAUUAAAUAAAUAUAUCCCAGCUGCCCCUCAUCCUGAGCACAGUACCUAGAGCUCCCUGCGUGAGAAGUGGCUCUGGGGGAAAGGCAAGUGGACAAUUGGGAGUGCUG